rnacentral:sRNA from 1 species
CACACACACACACAGUGCUGCUUUGGUGGCUGCUGUGGACCUGUUUUACCCUCAGGGUCUCCUCUUUCAUCUCAGUCCUUCUUAAAGUGUCUGCAGAGCUGUCUACAACUCCUGACUUUCCUUCCUCAGAGCUCCCAGGGACUUCCCUCCAAGACUGUGUCUUCCUGUCCUCCAUCCUCAAGGCGGCUGAUUUCCUGGGGAUCAUCAAACACACGUGUGCCAAGAACCUCACACAGACUGUGAGGUCCUUCGAUCUCUCUGGGACAGCCAGAAUUUUGCAGACUGAGAAACAUGUAGAGGAAGCUGGGUCUCUGAAGCUAGUGGAGUUCUGGUCUCCUCUUGCUCUGCGAGAACACGCUCUACCAAGCCUCCUCUUUCAGAAAUUUCAGGAACAAGGGCUACCAAUCUUCAUGUUCAUUUACAUCUCAAAACUUCAGAGUAGACAUGGAAGAGCCUUUCAAGAACUUCCUCCUCAUGCUCUUCUUCAAUAUGGAUUUGCAGAUUCUGUGUGGCAAAAAGAAUCUCUAAGACACUCCACUGUCCAUGAGAGAUGCUAGAAUGUCCUUGGCUUGGGCAGGAUUGUGGAGCACCCUUCUACCAUUCCUGGGGAUUUACCACUAAUGGCACAGGAAGUUACAGACUUCAACUCUAAUCCGACCCUUCGCCUCCUUCUCUUCCUUCUCCCAAGUCUCUUUGUAUAGAGAGUAGGGAGGAAAUGAGACAUGGACCUAGAUCAGUUCUGCUGCCUCUUAGGACGUUGGGCAUCAGAGCAGGGGCCAGAGAUGUCUACCGUGAAUAGAGGUGUGCUCUUUGUGUUCAAUUUUACUUAGCUGUAAUUUACAUUUUUAUACUUAUUUAUGUCUGUACAUGUUGUAUAUAUACGUUGUGUG